UGUCUGCCAACUGUUGUCGCGUCGGAGAUGCCGGAACGUUCCCUAUCAAAUGGGUUCAAGAAAUAAUGAGUGGGAACGAAGUUGCGGAGUGAGCCCACGGAGACAAAUUUAUGCAACGCUUUCGUGCCUUUUGCUUCCAAAUCGAUCAUUUUUCGAAAACACUUUCUUCCUUUGAAGCGUUUCUGCCUCCUUCCUCCGGUCCCCCUCUCUAUAAAUUUCAAGAGAGCGAGGAGCGCGAAGGAGAGAGAAUAGGGGUCGGUCGACAGAUCCGGAGAGGGAGGGAUUCUUCCGGUGGAGUUUCUCGUUGCGCAGUGGGGGUGAAGUCCACCGUCCCCCUCCGCUGCAGCAGCGGCGGCCCCCCCCUCUGUCGGUGCAGGCGCUGGCUACUCGAUCCGAGAGCUUCCGCACCCGCCAGGCCGGCCGCCGCAGUGAGGAAUUCCGUUUCGGUAGUGGUCAGACUGACAUAAGCGUGUUUCCUGCUGUCCGUAGCUCACGGAAGGGACAUUAAAUAAUGGACUCCAGAAGCUGUUUAAGUAAAACUAAUGGUUGGAGUAAUUGAUGAGGUGAUAACUCCCGCUGCUCUUGCGGUUCCUGAGACAUCCAACCUUGAAGAUGGUGCAAGGUUCUGAAUACUGGACCAUGUCUUCCGGUUGAAACAAAAUACCAUAGACUUCCAGUCGUCGACGGUGAUGGUAAAUUGGUUGGGAUUAUUACAAGGGGAUUUCGUCGUUAGAGCAGCGCCGCAAAUAAAGCAUGAAAACAAGAAACAUUCUCGAGUCUAAGAUGGAAAUCACGUGUAAGUCACUAUCACUAUUUACGAGUUCAUACUAGCGGCUGAUAUCUUACGCAUCCUUCGUCUCAGCCAUCGCAGAAAUUAUCCUAUGUGACAUAGGAACCCCAUAACACCGGCAUCACUAGCUUCAGAUACCAUAUUCAUGUUCUCUAGGUCUUCGACCAUGCCUUCUCUUCAUUAGUUCCAAGAGUCACCUUAAUAUAUUUAAUGUUUUCUGCACCGGACUCAAAUAGAAAAAAGUCAUGUCAGCUACCUACCGAAUGAUGAGUGAAGAGAGAUGCAUCUUAGGCUGCUAAGUGGACAAGAAUCGGGUACAGCUGGUGAAAGGGUAAAUCUUGGCGGUAAUUGAGUGGUGUUAACUACUGAGUACUGCCACUGGUACUCAAAAUGGGGGCAGCUGUUUCUGUGAUCAAUGCAUUAUGUUUAUGCUUCUCAAUCGUGUUUGCAAUUGCCACUGGUACUCAAAUGGGGGCAGCUGUCUCUGACCAAUCUUUUAUAUGAAUGCUUCACGGCUUCCACAUGUCAGAGGGGGAGAGAGAGAGAGAGUGUGUGUGUGUGCGAGAUGUCCAAGUCAAACCCUACUUUGCUCCAACUCUUGUUUUACGUUUGCCUAGAACUCCCUGUCUUACACACAAGUUGUGAUCAGUGUCAUACGUUGGUAAUGUAAUUAUCACAGCAUCCGUUUAUUUGA